rnacentral:rRNA from 1 species
AGAUGUGUCAUACCAGCACUAACACACCGGAUCCCAUCAAAACUCCGAAGCUAAACAUGCUUGGGCGAGAGUAGUAUUAGGAGGGGUGACCCCCGGGGAAGUCCUCGUGUUGCAUCCC